rnacentral:tRNA from 1 species
GGACAGAUGGCCGAGUGGUCUAAGGCGCUGCGUUUAGGUUCGUUCUAAACAUCCUCCGCAGUCUUCACGGGCGUGGGUGUAAGUUUACUCAAUCCUGGCGAAUUUCAAUCACAAUACUAAUAUCCACACAGUCGAAUCCCACUCUGUUCA